GCUUAGCAUGCACCUUUUUCCAUGUGUCGGAAGGUAACCUCUCGAUACGGUGUCGAAGCAUCACCUAAUCAUUCUCAUUGAACUCUUGGUACCUACGAUGAACAUCUGCAGCAGACUUAUAAUUUUCAUUGUACAAAUUAAUUUUUUGUCUUAUCUCAGCAUGCAAAUCAUGAAUGUGUCGUGCAAAAGUUUUAGCAGACUCACUAGAUCUAUAAGUAGGGGGAAGAGAAACUAGGUCAAUAGGUUUCCUAGGCUGGUAACCAUAGUAAAUCUAAAAAGGACUCGCCCCAAUAGAGCGAUUAACCGAACUAUUAUAAGAAAACUCAGUCAUAGAUAAGACUCUAUCCCAACUAGACACAUGAUCUCCUAUAAGGCAUCUCACCAAAUCACCUAGACUCCUAUUAACUACCUCAGUUUGACCAUCAGUCUGUGGGUGAUAGGCAGUGGAAAACUUAAGUGUGGUAUUUAGUUUCUUCCAUAGGGUUUUCCAAAAAUAACUCAUGAAUUUAACAUCUCUAUCAGAAACUAUAGACAAAGGCAAACCACAUAGCCUUACAACCUCACUAAAGAAAAUUGAUGCAAUGUGUGAAGCAUCAUCAGUUUUGCUGCAUGGAAUAAAAUGUGCCAUUUUAGAAAAACGGUUCACUACAACAAAAACAAAAUCAUGACCUCUAGGGGUCCGCGGUAACCCCAAGACAAAAUUCAUGCUAAUAUCCUACCAAUGAGCAUGGGGUACAGGCAAAGGCAUAUAUAACCCCGUGUUUUGCUUCCUACCCUUAGCAGUUUAACAUGUGCGACACUCGAAAAUAAUACGAGCUACAUUCCUCUUGAGGCUAGGCCAAAAGAACAUAUCCUCCACAAUCGCAAUGGUCUUAUAGCGACCAAAAUGACCUGCAAUCCCUCCCGCAUGUAACUCCCAAACUAGAUGGUUAUGCAUAGACGUGCUAGGAAUACACAAACGGGUGCCCUUAAAAAGAUACCCAUCAUGGAUACAAAAAUCGCCUGAGGGUGGUAUAUUAGAAUUUUGUAGGGCAAUAUAUGUCUCUCUAAAGUCACGACAAGAAGGGUAUUCAUGGAUAAUACGCUCAAACCCAAUAACCUUCACACUCAAAGUGUUAAGGAGAAUAGAUACCCUACUCAACGCAUCAACGGUUUUGUUCUCUACCCCUCGACAAUGCUUUAGAACAAAAGAAUAGUCCUGAAGAAACUCAACCCACUUAGCGUGUCGAUGACUCAACUUAUUCUGGGAGUUUAUAUACUGAAGUGCCUAAUGAUCGGAGUAUAGCACAAACUCCUUAGGCAACAAAUAGUGUCGCUAAUACCUAAGCGCCUGAACUAACACAUAAAACUCUCUAUCAUAGGUAGAAUACCUUUGUCGGACCUCAUUUAGCUUCUCACUAAAGAAUGUAACAGGAUGACCCUCUUGACUAAGUACUUCCCCUAUUCCUAUGCCGGAAGCGUCACAUGCUACCUCAAACACCUUGCUAAAAUCUGAUAGCGCGAGGAUAGGUGUAUGCAUUAACUCGUCCUUAAUCACCUCAAAGGCUUUGGCAGCCGAUUUAGACCAAACAAACUCCCCUUUCUUUAAGCAAUCGGUGACGAAGCCAUAAUAGUACUAAAUCCCUUAAUGAACCUCCUGUAAAAAGUAGCAAGUCCGUGGAAGCUUCUAGCUUCAUGUAUAUUAGAAGGUUCGGGCCACUCUUUAAUAGCCUUUACCUUUUGAGGGUUAGCAGAAACCCCAUCUUUGGAGACAACAAACCCAAGAAAUAUGACGGAUUCUUGCACGAAAGAACAUUUUUUCAUAUUAAUAUAAAGUUUCUCACGCUGGAGAGCAGAAAAAACUUGGCGCAAGUGAAGUAAGUGUUCCUCUUGAGUGUGACUAUAGAUGAGGAUGUCAUUGAAAUAGACCACUACAAACUUGCCAAUAAAGACCGCAACACCUGAUUCAUGACUCUCAUAAAGGUGCUAGGUGCAUUUGUUAGACCAAAGGGUAGGACUAACCAUUCAUAACGGCCAUCACUAGGCUUAAAGGCAAUAUUCCAUUCGUCUCCCUCGCAGAUGCAGACUUGGUGAUAUCUACUCCGUAGAUAUAUCUAUUUUGGUGUACACAAGAGCUCCGCUCAUCAUAUCUAACAUGUCAUCAAGCCUAGGUAUAUAGGAAACCUAUACUUAAUGAUGAUUUUAUUGAUAAAAACUUCCAUCAGCCGUUUGGGUAAACAAAGUUGGCACUGCACAAGGACUAAGACUUUCAUGCACAAAACCCUUACUCAACAAAUCACCUACUUGGCGUCUCAUCUCCUCUUGGUCAACCUAUAAUGGGGUAGGUUAGGUAAAGAAGACCCUGGUACAAGGUCAAUAGCAUGCUAGAUAUCCCUAAGAGGUGGUAAUCCGAUAGGUAACUCACUAGGCAUCACAUUAGCAAACUCAUGGAGAAUCUGCCUAACAUCACUAUAUUCGACAUUACUACUCUUCUCAGGAACAUCCCUAACCUCUCGUACACAACCUUCUCCUCUCUCACACUCUUCUCAAAGGUCUUCUGACUAAGAAUAUGAAGAUAUUUGGAUUCUUGUAUAGACAUAUUAUUUUCUUUUGGUUGACCAUUGGGAGACGCUCGUGGUCUCACAGGCACUAAAGUAAUCUUUUGCCCCUUGUGUGAACACAUAAGUAUUCGAUUUCCCAUAAUGGGUCACAUCAUGAUCAUAUAGCCAAGGUCGCCCUAAAAGAAUGUGUGCAAAAUCCAUCGGAAGAACAUAACACCAAACUUUUUCCUCAUAUCCCUUAAGGUGGAUCGGCACUAGACACCUAUGUGUCACAGGAAUAGACAGUGUUCUAAAAGUCGCUAGUCGGUCCCAGGUCGGUUGGCUACUGACUAGGGGAUUAGUCGGGGAUUAAUCGGCUAGUCGGAUUUUCAAAUUUUAAAAAAUAUAUAUAUAUAUUCUCCUUCAUCCUUCAUAAGUUUUGAGUAAGUAGAAUAACAUAAAUAACACAAAUCAUCAAAUAAAAACAUGGAAACUAAGUAAAACCAAAUAGUUCAACGCUCUAAGUUCAAAACCAAUUAACCAAAAUGAAACUAAGUAGCACAAAAUCAUUAGUCAAUCACUCCUCUUCUCCAUAUCCCUCCAAGACUUGCUCUCCAUCGGACUCAAACUCAUAAUCCUCAUCUUCCUCUUUGUUGUCAUCAUCUUCCGACAUAAACUCGUCUUCAUCUAGUUCUCACACAUUUCUACUUCUUAUAGGUAGAAAGACCUCAUUCGCUCCCAUUUUUUUCGAUUUUUUCCUACUUCUUUCGAUUUUCCCCGACUUGUCCCGAUUUUUUAAUUUACUCCAACUGGGCGACUUUCCCGACUAGUCGACUUUACCGAAUAGUCGCCGACUAGAGCUCGACUAAGUCAGUCAACGACUAAAUCAAAGGACUAGGCCCUAGUCGACUCGUUGAGGCUCCGACCCCGACCUAGUCACUGAGUCGGUCGACUUUUCAAACACUGGGAAUAGAUGUCUUAUUAACCCAAGCAAUAUUAUAAGGUUGGGGUGUGUGAUUCUGCCUUUAACUUCAAUCAUUCCACAGCUGUCUUGGCAACCACAUAUAAACAACUUCCCCCAUCAAUGAUUAGCUUGGAAGAGAUUCCACCACCUCUGCUAUAUGUUUGAAAUAUAGCAGUUCUCUUCCAAUCUUUCUCCUUUUUAGGACUAGCGAAAAUGCACCUCAUAACAUUCAAGGGUUGGUCAAUUUGUUCAAGGUGCGCAUCCGUUUCUUCAUCCUCCGUGUAAUAUUCAUCCUCCACUUCACCUUCCCUUGGCGCAUUUUCUUCACCUUGCCCUUCAAGAACCACUCCCACUCGGUGUUUGUUAGGGCAAACUUGUGGCCAAGCACUUUGCAGGAGAAACACAUAUCCCUGCCAGUGAUUGUAGGCUUGGGUAUGGAGUACCCUUCCUUAGUCUAGGGUCCCAAUUUGGUCCACUCACGGUGUUAUUAGCCCUAGAAGUAUCUUGAGGUGUGGAAAAGGACAUGUCAUGAGCAGUCAUGUCGGCGGCUGACUUUGUUGCUGAUGACGACGAAGAGAAAGGUGCAGUAGGUCUGGUUCGGUGUAGGUAGCAACUUGACGAUUUUUGUGCGAGCUUCUGACGAUGAACAGUGUUGUCGAAGCGACUCCCAAGGUUAGGCUUUGAUACCACAAAUGAUGUAGGACAACUUUGUAAGAUGGAUUUAGUAUUAAUUGAUAGAUAAAUAAAACUAGAAUCUAAGCUCUACGCUUAAAUUCUAGGGUUUAGAGUUUCAACUCAUCAUCUAUAAACUCUAGAAAGAUAUCUCCACGAUAUAAGAAAAGAUAAUAAUAAUUGUAAUAUUCAGAAUGUCCUCCCAAUGAGAAUUACAUCGGUAUUUAAACAAAACAGCCCUAAAUUAAACUUGGAGACCAAAAAGACAAAAAUACCCCAACUAAUUAAAACAAGUUACUAAAAUAUCCCAACUAAUUAAAACAAGUCCAUAAUAAUGAAAUAAACAAAAUAAAUAAAUAAGUCAACUAAAUCAUCGAUCCCCAUCAAGAACUCUCUCUCCUAAAAAUAUCUCCAAAUCUGCUUCCUCAAAAAGAACUCACCAACAAAAAUGUAACACUAUAUAACAUCUAGCUCUCCUACUCUUGGGAACUCUCACACCCUUCCAAGCAUCCCAAAAAAAGCUACAACUGACCUCGGCAACACCCACUAAAUCCCAAACAAUGAAAAAAAACAUCUUCCAAGUAUAACUAAAAAAAUCACAAUGUAAUCACAAGUGGUCACCAAAUUCGCAAUCCCCUUUGCACAUAAAACACCAACUAAUUAAAAAUUACCCCUUCUCCUACAUGAAUCCUGUGUAGAAAUAGCCCCAAAAGCAGCUGCCUGCUGCUGUCCAACAGAGGGGGGGGAGGCAGCCUUACGUGGAACACCCACGUGCCAAAUGCUUUUCCAAGGGAAAUUUCUCUCUACAGGAGUUUUGAUGUUCUCAUCUCAUGCCAAAUUUAGUAUGUCACGUGAUGCAAGGACUAUUAGAUUCAAUUAUUUUUUCCGCUUAAUAAGUUAUUUAAUUAAACAUAAAUGAUACGUUUGUAAAUUUGAUUAUUGACUACAUAAAUGUUUUACGUCUUGAAUACAAAUAGAGGGACAUGAACCCUACGAUACACUAAACGAGACUAGAUUAAUCAUGAAACUACUAAGUCUAUGUGUGUACAAUACUAACAAUUCACACUUAUAUUUAAUAAAACUAUGAAGCAAAAGCCCUAUUGCUGAGAUACAUCAGCAACCACAUAAUCCGCAUCAAGUACCAAAAUCUUUUAAAUGCCACACACUCUUUACUUUUAAUAAGAUUUAUACAAUUUCCAGUCAUGGAUUAAGAUUCUGAAGGAUAGAACAAAACUCAGCUAUUCAUCAAAGACUUUCCAACAAUAAAUAGUCCCGGCUAGUCAGAACUAUGAUAGUGAUAAUUCACAAUUUCACAGUCAAAUUUCCAUAUACAUAAAUUGUAAUUCUACUUAGGGAUAGGAUAAAUCAUUUUUAACAGCACUGAAUUUAAAUAAAGUAAUCACCUUUUUGUUCAAAUUAUAAUCAAGAGUCGAGAACAAGAAUUAAAAGGUAUCGUUCAUAAAUCAACAGAGCAGUUAACAAUGUACCUGAUAGUGAUAGAAACAGAAUUGGGGUUUCCAAAUCCACUAGAUAUAUUCAAAUCUCAGAAUGAACCAAAAAUCAAGAAGGAAACUAAAAAGAGCUCAAAUUAAUUAAAAUUGAAAUAUGUCAUUUCAUUUACAAACUUUAUAGAAUAUGGCUAUUUGUAUAUAUAGAUAAAAAGAAGAAAUUUGUGAUUAGAAACAGAUGAAAGAGACCUUUUAGAGAAGCCCUAAUAGCUAAAACCCUUGAAGAUAUCAGGGAGAGAGGGGGAAGUGACCAACAGUGCCUCUUGUUCUGACACUUUAAAAUUUCAUAUUCCGUUUCCUACGCGAGUUCUUGUC
rnacentral:lncRNA from 1 species